UGCUCCGGGAAGUAGAGAGUGGCCA
rnacentral:piRNA from 1 species